UGUUAUUUCUGUGUUGUCAUGUUGCAGACCUGAGACUUUUGGAUGAAGGGUGAAGCUGAAGGAAACAGAACUGAAUAACAGUUCUCAAAAGCAGAGGCCUGAAAAAUCAUAACUUUCUUCUUUUCCUCUAUGAAACUGGAUGCGUCAUAUGUAACUCAGGACUUAGAAGAAAACCUUUCUGAUUUGUGAAAG
rnacentral:lncRNA from 1 species